GCAGCACGGGCUUCGGCCUGGUGGCGAGUGGCGAACGGGUGAGUAAUAUAUCGGAACGUACCCAGAAGUGGGGGAUAACGUAGCGAAAGUUACGCUAAUACCGCAUACGAUCUACGGAUGAAAGUGGGGGAUCGCAAGACCUCAUGCUUUUGGAGCGGCCGAUAUCUGAUUAGCUAGUUGGUGAGGUAAAGGCUCACCAAGGCGACGAUCAGUAGCUGGUCUGAGAGGACGACCAGCCACACUGGAACUGAGACACGGUCCAGACUCCUACGGGAGGCAGCAGUGGGGAAUUUUGGACAAUGGGCGCAAGCCUGAUCCAGCAAUGCCGCGUGAGUGAAGAAGGCCUUCGGGUUGUAAAGCUCUUUUGUCAGGGAAGAAACGGUGGGAGCUAAUAUCUCCUGCUAAUGACGGUACCUGAAGAAUAAGCACCGGCUAACUACGUGCCAGCAGCCGCGGUAAUACGUAGGGUGCAAGCGUUAAUCGGAAUUACUGGGCGUAAAGCGUGCGCAGGCGGUUUUGUAAGUCUGACGUGAAAGCCCCGGGCUCAACCUGGGAAUUGCGUUGGAGACUGCAAGGCUUGAAUCUGGCAGAGGGGGGUAG
rnacentral:rRNA from 1 species